CACAGAAGACAUUCAGUUGGAUAGAGUGGAGUGUCUAAAGUUCAAGUCUGGAUUACAAAGCUUCUGAAAGGGAUAUGACCGCACUGGAGCUCUCAUUAUUACGGCACAACACUGCCCUUACAGGAGAAGUGAAGGGAAAACAGCAUUCCUAAUAUGGGCAAGACACCGACUGCGGACUGAUGCCAACACCUCGCAGGUCUACAGUGGGUUUUAACUCAUCAGCACUUUACUGGUCUCUCCGGUGGGGCUGAUGUUGGGAUGCGGGAUGACUGAUGGCCCGAGGAGACAGGGCUGUAUCUGCAGUAACGGUGAUGAGAUGAGCUCCAUCAGACCUCAGCUCAACCACCAACGUGGAGACAGGGUCUUAAUGAUGCAGUCAAAUACUAGAGUUACAACGUGGGAAUCCCAUUUAAAUGAAGGGCUGCUAUUGCUACUGACCAUCUACAGGCCUUUAACACCUCCAUGGGUGAAACCAGGGGUGCCAAUAUCUUCGAUGCAUUGUCAGAAGUAGCAGUCG